CGUAGGUGGCAAGCGUUGUCCGGAUUUAUUGGGUUUAAAGGGUGCGUAGGCGGUCCCAUAAGUCAGUGGUGAAAUACGGCAGCUCAACUGUCGAGGUGCCAUUGAUACUGCGGGACUUGAGUACUGAUGAGGAAGGCGGAAUUGACGGUGUAGCGGUGAAAUGCUUAGAUAUCGUCAAGAACACCGAUAGCGAAGGCAGCUUUCCAAGGAGUAACUGACGCUGAGGCACGAAAGUGCGGGGAUCAAACAGGAUUAGAUACCCUGGUAGUCCGCACAGUAAACGAUGAUUACUCGAUGUUGGCGAUACACAGCCAGCGUCUUAGCGAAAGCGAUAAGUAAUCCACCUGGGGAGUACGCCCGCAAGGGUG
rnacentral:rRNA from 1 species